rnacentral:lncRNA from 1 species
CCCAGCCACAAAACCUCGUGAGAAUACACAGUGUACCCUGGCUUUAUGUUUAAUAAUAAGCUUUGUCCUAGAAUACAUGAGAAAUAUGAAGUAAAUACACUGAAUGGUAGGCAGAAGUAAGAAGACAUCAUUAGGUAGUGUGUGCUUCGGUUUCAGUGAUACAACAGCAGGACCAGUAAAUGAGACGCGCGGCCAGCUUCUGUGAUGAACGGAAGGAAGAAGUGUUUAAAAAGCCUAUGCUGUACCAGGAAAUGGAGGUGAGGGAAGAUUCAGUCACGGCUGUGUCCUGUAGUUGGCGUCUCUCUGUCACAAGGCCGUUUGCCUCUUCGGCACCGUUAUUCCGGCCCACAAGGUCACAGGCAUCCUAACCGUGGCAGCACAAGCCCUUGGCAGCUAUUAACAAGAAUCCUCUUGGUGUUCAGAACCCACGGGUUUAUAUCACAGCUGAGCAUCUACCAUGCACGAAGAACACAAGUUUUCACCUUUUCAGGGCCCGAGUGUUGCUUAUCAUCACAAAUUCUGAGAAAACACUACCACAUCACAC